rnacentral:rRNA from 1 species
CCUACGGGAGGCAGCAGUGAGGAAGAUUGGUCAAUGGCCGGAAGGCUGAACCAGCCAUGCCGCGUGAAGGGCAGGGACCUAGGGGCGGUAAACGUCUUUUGUGCGGGAGCAAGAAUGGGCACGUGUGGCCAGACGAGAGUACCGUACGAAUAAGCAGCGGCGAACCCCGGGCCAGCAGCCGCGGUAAGACGGGGGAUGCAAGCGUUCUCCGGAUUUAGUGGGUUUAAAGGGGGCGUAGGCUGGGAGGUAAGUCAGCGGUGAAAUGCCCCCGCUCAACGGGGUGAAGGGCCAUUGAUACUGCCUUGCUGGACUGCGGCUGCCGUGGGCGGAAUGUGUGGUGUAGCGG